GGGGAAUAUUGGUCAAUGGGGGAAACCCUGAACCAGCAACGCCGCGUGAAGGAAGAAGGCCUUCGGGUUGUAAACUUCUUUGACGAGGGAAGAAAAAAAUGACGGUACCUCGAAAACAAGCCACGGCUAACUACGUGCCAGCAGCCGCGGUAAUACGUAGGUGGCAAGCGUUGUCCGGAAUUACUGGGUGUAAAGGGCGUGUAGGCGGGUCUGUAAGUCAGGUGUGAAAUUCAAGGGCUUAACCCUUGAACUGCAUUUGAGACUGCGGAUCUUGAGUGAUGGAGAGGUAAGUGGAAUUCCUAGUGUAGCGGUGAAAUGCGUAGAUAUUAGGAGGAACACCAGUGGCGAAGGCGACUUACUGGACAUUAACUGACGCUGAGGCGCGAAAGCGUGGGGAGCAAAC
rnacentral:rRNA from 1 species